rnacentral:rRNA from 1 species
AACGAACGCUGGCGGCAUGCCUAACACAUGCAAGUCGAACGAGACCUCCCGGUCUUGUUGCGCUCGGGUGCGUAACGCCUGGGAACUUGCCCUUAGGUUCGGUAUAACUCAGAGAGAUUUGAGCUAAUACCGGUUGGUGUCUUCGCACCUAAGAUCUAUCGCCACUGGAUGGGCCCUCGUUGGAUUGGGCAGUUGGUGGGGUAAAGGCCUCCCAUGGCGUCGUUCCAUAGCUGGUCUGUGAACAUGACAUACCACGCUGGAACUGCGACACGGCCCAGCCUCGGACGGAGGGCAGCAGUGGGGAAUAUUGGAGGAGGAACGAAAGCCUAAUCAAGCAAGGCCGCGGAAGUGAUGAAGGCGUUAGUAUUGUAAAGCUGUUUUAGCCGAGGUGAUAAUGACAGUAUCGGGAGAAUAAGCACCGGCUAACUACGUG